rnacentral:rRNA from 1 species
AGUGAACGCUGGCGGUAGGCCUAACACAUGCAAGUCGAACGGCAGCACAGUAAGAGCUUGCUCUUACGGGUGGCGAGUGGCGGACGGGUGAGGAAUACAUCGGAAUCUACUUUUUCGUGGGGGAUAACGUAGGGAAACUUACGCUAAUACCGCAUACGACCUACGGGUGAAAGCAGGGGAUCUUCGCACCUUGCGCGAUUGAAUGAGCCGAUGUCGGAUUAGCUAGUUGGCGGGGUAAAGGCCCACCAAGGCGACGAUCCGUAGCUGGUCUGAGAGGAUGAUCAGCCACACGGGAACUGAGACACGGUCAAGACUCCUACGGGAGGCAGCAGUGGGGAAUAUUGGACAAUGGGCGCAAGCAUGAUCCAGCCAUACCGCGUGGGUGAAGAAGGCCUUCGGGUUGUAAAGACCUUUUGUUGGGAAAGAAAAGCAGCAGGUUAAUACCCCGCUGUUCUGACGGUACCCAAAGAAUAAGCACCGGCUAACUUCGUG